ACGGGUGAGUAACACGUGGGUAACCUACCUAUAAGACUGGGAUAACUUCGGGAAACCGGAGCUAAUACCGGAUAACAUUUGGAACCGCAUGGUUCUAAAGUGAAAGAUGGUUUUGCUAUCACUUAUAGAUGGACCCGCGCCGUAUUAGCUAGUUGGUAAGGUAACGGCUUACCAAGGCGACGAUACGUAGCCGACCUGAGAGGGUGAUCGGCCACACUGGAACUGAGACACGGUCCAGACUCCUACGGGAGGCAGCAGUAGGGAAUCUUCCGCAAUGGGCGAAAGCCUGACGGAGCAACGCCGCGUGAGUGAUGAAGGGUUUCGGCUCGUAAAACUCUGUUAUUAGGGAAGAACAAAUGUGUAAGUAACUGUGCACGUCUUGACGGUACCUAAUCAGAAAGCCACGGCUAACUACGUGCCAGCAGCCGCGGUAAUACGUAGGUGGCAAGCGUUAUCCGGAAUUAUUGGGCGUAAAGCGCGCGUAGGCGGUUUCUUAAGUCUGAUGUGAAAGCCCACGGCUCAACCGUGGAGGGUCAUUGGAAACUGGGAAACUUGAGUGCAGAAGAGGAAAGUGGAAUUCCAUGUGUAGCGGUGAAAUGCGCAGAGAUAUGGAGGAACACCAGUGGCGAAGGCGACUUUCUGGUCUGUAACUGACGCUGAUGUGCGAAAGCGUGGGGAUCAAACAGGAUUAGAUACCCUGGUAGUCCACGCCGUAAACGAUGAGUGCUAAGUGUUAGGGGGUUUCCGCCCCUUAGUGCUGCAGCUAACGCAUUAAGCACUCCGCCUGGGGAGUACGACCGCAAGGUUGAAACUCAAAGGAAUUGACGGGGACCCGCACAAGCGGUGGAGCAUGUGGUUUAAUUCGAAGCAACGCGAAGAACCUUACCAAAUCUUGACAUCCUUUGAAAACUCUAGAGAUAGAGCCUUCCCCUUCGGGGGACAAAGUGACAGGUGGUGCAUGGUUGUCGUCAGCUCGUGUCGUGAGAUGUUGGGUUAAGUCCCGCAACGAGCGCAACCCUUAAGCUUAGUUGCCAUCAUUAAGUUGGGCACUCUAGGUUGACUGCCGGUGACAAACCGGAGGAAGGUGGGGAUGACGUCAAAUCAUCAUGCCCCUUAUGAUUUGGGCUACACACGUGCUACAAUGGACAAUACAAAGGGCAGCUAAACCGCGAGGUCAUGCAAAUCCCAUAAAGUUGUUCUCAGUUCGGAUUGUAGUCUGCAACUCGACUACAUGAAG
rnacentral:rRNA from 1 species